AAUUACGACUUCAAAAUUGGCAAGAUCACAUUCAUUAGAAAUUCCCGGCCGCUGGUCAAAAAAAUUGAAGAGGAUGAUGCUGGUACUCGCUUUAUUGCGUUCUCCGGAGAAGGUCAGUCCCUUCGCAAGAAAGGCAGGAAACCCUGAACUCUGCAGUCGGAAGACAAUAAAAUAAUCCUAUAUACUAGC